rnacentral:rRNA from 1 species
GAUGAACGCUGGCGGCGUGCCUAAUACAUGCAAGUCGAGCGAAGCGGGGACGGGUGAGUAACACGUGGAUAACCUCCUAUAAGACUGGGAUAACUUCGGGAAACCGGAGCUAAACCGGAUAAUUAUAGAAGGAUCCGCGCCGAAUUAGCUAGUUGGUAAGGUAACGGCUUACCAAGGCCACGAUGCGUAGCCGACCUGAGAGUGUGAUCUGCCACACUGGAACUGAGACACGGUCCAGACUCCUACGGGAGGCAGCAGUAGGGAAUCUUGCGCAAUGGGCGAAAGCCUGACGGAGCAACGCCGCGUGAGUGAUGAAGGUCUUCGGAUCGUAAAGCUCUGUUAUUAGGGAAGCGGUACCUAAUCAGAAAGCCACGGCUAACUACGUGCCAGCAGCCGCGGUAAUAC